GGGUGGACAUAAAGUGGAAAGGAGGGGAAAUAACUCCCACCAUGCAGCAGGACACCUUCAGCUGUGGGGUCUUUGUAAUAUGGCCAAGGAAGUUGCACAGAACUUCCCCAACAUCCCAAAUUGAUAUGGAACCUUCAAAAAACAAAUGGAGCAACUGCAGAAAUAAAUGGCUGAGGAUAUACUAAACAUGUCUGAGUUCAAUAAAGCCUGCUUCAUGUGUGCCACUGAUGAAGAACCUGGAUGUGGCCCAGACUGACAGGAUUGAAUGUUUUGCCAACGGGGGUUCCAUGUGCUGUGCCUCGGAAUGAAGACCAAAGAGUUCACCAGAGUAAAGAACACAAACUGGAAGUGCAGUCUUUGUUGUUGAGAAUGUCUGCUCUACCCCAUCCACAC